rnacentral:pre_miRNA from 1 species
AAUAGAUGACGCCGUUGACUUUUUCUCACAUGUUUGACCAUUCGUCUUAUUCAAAAAAUUUACGUAAUUAUAAUUUAUUUUGUUAUGAGUUGUUUUAUUACUCAUAGUACUUUAAGUGUGAUUUAUAUCAUAUACAUUUGAAUAAGACGAAUGGUCAAACAUGUGAGAAAAAGUCAACGGCGUCAUCUAUU